AGAGUUUGAUCCUGGCUCAGGACGAACGCUGGCGGCGCGCCUAACACAUGCAAGUCGAACGAGCGAGAGAGAGCUUGCUUUCUCGAGCGAGUGGCGAACGGGUGAGUAACGCGUGAGGAACCUGCCUCAAAGAGGGGGACAACAGUUGGAAACGACUGCUAAUACCGCAUAAGCCCACGGCUCGGCAUCGAGCAGAGGGAAAAGGAGCAAUCCGCUUUGAGAUGGCCUCGCGUCCGAUUAGCUAGUUGGUGAGGUAACGGCCCACCAAGGCGACGAUCGGUAGCCGGACUGAGAGGUUGAACGGCCACAUUGGGACUGAGACACGGCCCAGACUCCUACGGGAGGCAGCAGUGGGGAAUAUUGCACAAUGGGGGAAACCCUGAUGCAGCGACGCCGCGUGGAGGAAGAAGGUCUUCGGAUUGUAAACUCCUGUUGUUGAGGAAGAUAAUGACGGUACUCAACAAGGAAGUGACGGCUAACUACGUGCCAGCAGCCGCGGUAAAACGUAGGUCACAAGCGUUGUCCGGAAUUACUGGGUGUAAAGGGAGCGCAGGCGGGAAGACAAGUUGGAAGUGAAAUCUAUGGGCUCAACCCAUAAACUGCUUUCAAAACUGUUUUUCUUGAGUAGUGCAGAGGUAGGCGGAAUUCCCGGUGUAGCGGUGGAAUGCGUAGAUAUCGGGAGGAACACCAGUGGCGAAGGCGGCCUACUGGGCACCAACUGACGCUGAGGCUCGAAAGUGUGGGUAGCAAACAGGAUUAGAUACCCUGGUAGUCCACACCGUAAACGAUGAUUACUAGGUGUUGGAGGAUUGACCCCUUCAGUGCCGCAGUUAACACAAUAAGUAAUCCACCUGGGGAGUACGACCGCAAGGUUGAAACUCAAAGGAAUUGACGGGGGCCCGCAC
rnacentral:rRNA from 1 species